UAGGGAAUCUUCGGCAAUGGACGAAAGUCUGACCGAGCAACGCCGCGUGAGUGAAGAAGGUUUUCGGAUCGUAAAACUCUGUUGUUAGAGAAGAACAAGGACGUUAGUAACUGAACGUCCCCUGACGGUAUCUAACCAGAAAGCCACGGCUAACUACGUGCCAGCAGCCGCGGUAAUACGUAGGUGGCAAGCGUUGUCCGGAUUUAUUGGGCGUAAAGCGAGCGCAGGCGGUUUCUUAAGUCUGAUGUGAAAGCCCCCGGCUCAACCGGGUAGGGUCAUUGGAAACUGGGAGACUUGAGGGCAGAAGAGGAGGGUGGAAUUCCAUGUGUAGCGGGGAAAUGCGUAGAUAUAUGGAGGAAAACCAGUGGCGAAGGCGGCUCUCUGGUCUGUAACAGACGCUGAGGCUCGAAAGCGUGGGGAGCAAACAGG
rnacentral:rRNA from 1 species